UGCCUGCUUACCCACUGUCUCUCUCUGCCUCUUUGACUCUUUAUUCCACCCUCCAAGCCUCAUCCCUUUUCCAAGAUGAGACUUUGAUCUCUCCUAAACGCUAAUUUUUCCAGUAAUUUUCUCAGGAACUUUAUGUACAUAGUGCAUGAAUUGGGGGAGAGAGAUAGCUGAGAGAAAUCACCCUGUCUAAAUGGGUAUGUUCAUGCAGUUUAGGAAUGAAAUAUAAUUUGUUUCUGGGGAUAUAAAUUAUUAUAUCCUAAACUCUUUGGGGUCCCAAAGAGUUGGACAUGACUGAGGACAGCACAGCACAAACAUAAAAAUACCAAUUGGGGGAAUGCUUUCAGUUUUUCACCAUUGAGA